rnacentral:lncRNA from 1 species
AUGGUGGGUCUUUGGACCGUCCUCGGCCUCCUCUUGGCCGGGACGCGCUUCUCCGCUCGGGCUGCCCCGCUGGCGCCCGAGGGUUGGGCUGCCCCGCUGGCGCCCGAGGCAAAGGCGACCUUCUCUCCGGGAGCCCUCGGCUGCGGCGCCCAACAGAACGGACAAGCGCAAGUACAAGCCACGGGCGGAUUAGAGGCGGGUCACGCCCAGGGCUGGAACGAGGAGUGCCCGUCUCUGCCAGGGCUCGUACCGGCGGGCGUGGAAGCAGAAGCUGAGAGCCGGGCAGAAGAGGCUGCUGCUGUCGCCGGAGGAGACGGCACUCGAAGCGGGGAGGGCCGCCCAGAAACCGCGUUUAGGGAGGAGAAGGAGGGGGUGAGCCAGGAGAGGCUGGUCCACAGAGGGGCUGGGGAGGAGGAGGAGGAGAAGGAGGGGGGGAGCCAGGAGAGGCUGGUCCACAGAGGGGCUGGGGAGGAGGAGGAGGAGGAGGAGGAGGAGGGGGAGGAGAAGGAGGGGGGAGCCAGGAGAGGCUGGUCCACAGAGGGGCUGGGGAGGAGGAGGAGGAGGAGGAGGAGAAGGAGGGGGAGCCAGGAGAGGCUGGUCCACAGAGGGGCUGGGGAGGAAGCACAGGGCCAGGGGGCGCUCACGCUCACACUCACCACCUCCGCGCCGGCUACCACCGCAGCCGUGGCAGGGAGCUCUCCAGAGGAGCAACAGAGAGGCGCCGCGUUAGUCGCCUCCACUCCCUCAGCUGCCGCCGAGCAGCAGGUGCCACGGCAACUACCUGACAGGCACGGAGACGCGACGGAGCUGGGGGAUAGAGGGGCGGAGGAGGAGGAGGAGGAGGAAGAGGAGGAGGAGGGGGAGGGGGUGGCCCUCUUACGCACUGUGUCAGUCACAGCCUCCUCUGCAACAGACGGGCAGAGAAGCAGAGCUGCCGCUGCCGCCGUUGCCACUGUGUCGCCCAGCGCAAAGCCCGCCAUGCCAACGGCACCGCCACCCUCCGGAGGACCGUCUGGCCGGGAGACAGAUGGCUGGGGAGCAGCGCAGACGGCCCAGCAGAGGGGUGACCUCGCGCAGGUUGGGGGUCGGGCCGGGCGGGGGCCGUGGGCAGUGAGCCCCACACAUACCCUGGCCACGCCUGGGGGGGCACCACUGGGGCAAGGGGGGGGACGGGGGCGGGGGCGGGGACGGGGGCAGGUCGGAGGCGGCAGCAACCCUGGGGAUUCUGACAUCUCCGGACUCGGAGAGCGAGAGAGGAGCGUCCGGCGGGAGAGUACAUCACCAUCCUAUGUCCGACCCCAUCCAGGAGGGUCUCCUCCGCGCCUCGCUCCAGACCAGCAGCGUCACGCCCGCGUGGACUACCUUGCAGUCCGUCCCCGGCACCACUGA